rnacentral:rRNA from 1 species
CAGCAGCCGCGGUAAAACGUAGGUGGCAAGCGUUGUCCGGAAUUAUUGGGCGUGAAGGGCUCGCAGGCGGUUUCUUAAGUCUGAUGUGAAAGCCCCCGGCUCAACCGGGGAGGGUCAUUGGAAACUGGGAAACUUGAGUGCAGAAGAGGAGAGUGGAAUUCCACGUGUAGCGGUGAAAUGCGUAGAGAUGUGGAGGAACACCAGUGGCGAAGGCGACUCUCUGGUCUGUAACUGACGCUGAGGAGCGAAAGCGUGGGGAGCGAACAGGAUUAGAUACCCCAGUAGUCCCUGUCUCUUAUAC